CACUCAAGAUGAGCUGGGUCGGAGUUCGAGUUCCUUCCACCUAAUUAAAUUCCAUUCUCAAAGGUCGAGCCGAACGUGCUAGUCGGAAUUUUGAUCGCCAUUAAUCCAGAUUCCUCCUCACCGAGGAGACAUUGGGCGGAAGCGAGCAGACCCAACUUUUUGUGUGAUGGAACCUGUUCAUGGAAGCACAUGAUUAAAGUCCGGUGACCGCGUUUUCCAGUCUUAUAUGGUCACUUUAUCUCGUAGCUACUACCCAAAGCGAGGUGUUAUUCAUGUUCAGAAGUGGAACAACGGACUUAGUUGGGAAACUCCAUGAGUUCUCCAGAAUUGAGGCCGACGGUCUCAUCCUUGCUUCAUUUUCGUGCUUUCCAGAUAACUAUCCUGAAGGAACUUGACAGUUACGAGUCCAACAUCGAUGAAUAAUAAUGAGCUCCCGAUGUGGUAUCUACUAACCAUUGCCCAAUGGUUAAAAGGAUCGUUUCACCUGAGAGUGAUUAAGUUGAAGAGCGUGAACAUUUAUUUACUCACCAUCCAUGCGAUGCCUCUCGUCCCAAAGAGAGUAAGUUGAAUUGGGGCCCAUGCAAGAACAAGAAUCCCCUGCACAAGUGCAAAUGAGAUCUUGCAUGUCUUGGGGUAGAAUCCCCAAACCAGGCCCUUCGGAUGACCCACUUAGUCGAGGCAUGCCGUACACGUGAGCUAAAAAGUUUGAUACUAACCGUUAUAUUUGCUUGGUUUGAUUGCAUUUGUCAUCCUUGCUUUUAUUACCUGGGUCGACACAAUCUUGAGGGCACAGGCCAGACCUUGCUUCCAAAAAGUCGCAUCUCAGAUCUGGACAUGUCACUGGAUCAAUGGAACACGUGGAGUAGCUUGACCCGUUCUCUCUACAAUCGAGGAAUUCUAUCUGGGCAUCAUUUUCCUGGAAUUGAAAAUACCUCUGGGCGAUGGUUUCAAAUUUAAUGGUGGAUUGAGUUCGGCAGAAAAAGUAGCGUCACAUUUGAAUUGAAUAAAUCAUUUAGAUUUGUUGGCCAGUCAGAGAAUGAAUAUAA